rnacentral:rRNA from 1 species
UACGGAGGGUGCAAACGUUGCUCGGAAUCAUUGGGCGUAAAGCGCACGUAGGCGGCCUGAUAAGUCGGGUGUGAAAGCCCUGGGCUCAACCCAGGAAGUGCACUCGAAACUGUCAGGCUUGAAUAUGGAAGAGGGUCGCGGAAUUCCCGGUGUAGAGGUGAAAUUCGUAGAUAUCGGGAGGAACACCAGUGGCGAAGGCGAGUCUCUGGACGACUCCUGACACUGAGGCACGAAAGCCAGGGGAGCAAACAGG